CCUACGGGAGGCAGCAGUGGGGAAUAUUGGACAAUGGGCGAAAGCCUGAUCCAGCAAUUCCGCGUGUGUGAAGAAGGCCUUCGGGUUGUAAAGCACUUUAGUGGGGGAAGAAACAGCUUGGCCACACCAAGCCUUGACGGUACCCCAAGAAUAAGCACCGGCUAACUCUGUGCCAGCAGCCGCGGUAAUACAGAGGGUGCAAGCGUUAAUCGGAUUUACUGGGCGUAAAGGGUGCGUAGGUGGCUAUUUAAGUCGGAUGUGAAAGCCCGGGGCUCAACCUCGGAAUUGCAUUCGAUACUGAGUGGCUAGAGUUCGGUAGAGGGCGGCGGAAUUUCCGGUGUAGCGGUGAAAUGCGUAGAUAUCGGAAGGAACAUCAAUGGCGAAGGCAGCCGCCUGGGCCUGGACUGACACUGAGGCACGAAAGCGUGGGUAGCAAACAGGAUUAGAUACCCUGGUAGUCCACGCCGUAAACGAUGAGAACUUGACGUUGGUUCGUUUUACGAAUCGGUGUCGCNGCUACGACGAUAAGUUACUCCGUCCGUCGGGUAGGUACGGCCGCGAGGUUAGUAAACGUAACGUAAGUAGUACGGCGNGAGACGAGCGACGACGACGACGAGGAGGAGG
rnacentral:rRNA from 1 species